CAAUAGCGUAUAUUUAAGUUGCUGCAGUUAAAAAGCUCGUAGUUGGAUUUCGGUUGAGAACGGCCGGUCCGCCGUUUGGUGUGCACUGGCUGGUUUCAACUUCCUGUAGAGGACGUGCUCUGGCUUCACGGCUGGACGCGGAGUCUACGUGGUUACUUUGAAAAAAUUAGAGUGUUCAAAGCGGGCUUACGCUUGAAUAUUUCAGCAUGGAAUAACACUAUAGGACUCCUGUCCUAUUUCGUUGGUCUCGGGACGGGAGUAAUGAUUAAGAGGAACAGUUGGGGGCAUUCGUAUUUCAUUGUCAGAGGUGAAAUUCUUGGAUUUAUGAAAGACGAACUUCUGCGAAAGCAUUUGCCAAGGAUGUUUUCAUUAA
rnacentral:rRNA from 1 species